UACAGAGGGUGCGAGCGUUGUCCGGAAUCACUGGGCGUAAAGGGCGCGUAGGUGGUGGCUUAAGCGUGCGGUGAAAGCUCGGGGCUCAACUCCGAGUCGGCCGUGCGAACUGGGCUCACUGGAGCAUAGUAGAGGCAGGUGGAAUUCCGGGUGUAGCGGUGGAAUGCGUAGAUAUUGGAAAGACCACCGAUGGCGAAGGCACUCUACUGGGCCAUUACUGACACUGAGAGACGAAAGCUAGGGGAGCAAAUGGG
rnacentral:rRNA from 1 species